AGAGUUUGAUCCUGGCUCAGAGUGAACGCUGGCGGCAGGCCUAACACAUGCAAGUCGAACGGCAGCACAGCAGUAGCAAUACUGUGGGUGGCGAGUGGCGGACGGGUGAGGAAUGCGUCGGAAUCUGCCUUUUUGUGGGGGAUAACGUAGGGAAACUUACGCUAAUACCGCAUACGACCUACGGGUGAAAGUGGGGGACCUUCGGGCCUCACGCAGAAAGAUGAGCCGACGCCGGAUUAGCUAGUUGGCGGGGUAAAGGCCCACCAAGGCGACGAUCCGUAGCUGGUCUGAGAGGAUGAUCAGCCACACUGGGACUGAGACACGGCCCAGACUCCUACGGGAGGCAGCAGUGGGGAAUAUUGGACAAUGGGCGCAAGCCUGAUCCAGCCAUGCCGCGUGUGUGAAGAAGGCCUUCGGGUUGUAAAGCACUUUUGUCCGGAAAGAAAAGCUUCGGGUUAAUAACCUGGAGUCAUGACGGUACCGG
rnacentral:rRNA from 1 species